rnacentral:rRNA from 1 species
UGGCGGCGUGCCUACACAUGCAAGUCGAACGAGAAAGUCCCGCAAGGGAUGAGUACAGUGGCGCACGGGUGAGUAACACGUGACUAACCUACCUUCGAGUGGGGAAUAACCUCGGGAAACCGGGGCUAAUACCGCAUAACAUCAUCGGGUGAAAUUCCUGCUGAUCAAAAGUUUUUUGCUUGAAGAGGGGGUCGCGGCUGAUUAGCUAGUUGGUGAGGUGAUGGCUCACCAAGGCGAUGAUCAGUAGCCGGCCUGAGAGGGCGCACGGCCACACUGGAACUGAAACACGGUCCAGACUCCUACGGGAGGCAGCAGUGGGGAAUUUUGCGCAAUGGGGGAAACCCUGACGCAGCAACGCCGCGUGGAGGAUGAAGUCCCUUGGGACGUAAACUCCUUUCGACCGGGACGAAUUAUGACGGUACCGGAAGAAGAAGCCCCGGCUAACUUCGUGCCAGCAGCCGCGGUAAUACGAGGGGGGCAAGCGUUGUUCGGAAUUAUUGGGCGUAAAGGGCGCG